ensembl:lncRNA
CUUCCCAUGGCGGCGGCGCUGGAGGCGGCGCUGGGCACGGCGUGCUGCUGGGGGCUGUCCCCGGCUCUGGAUCUCCACCAACACCUCCCGCAUGCCGGUAACGGCGACGCGACGGCGCUGCUCGUCGGGGCGGCGGAGGGGCGGCACCUCCUGCUCACGGCAUCGCGGGCGCACCGGGAGCCGCGCUGUGCCAUCACCAUCUUCGUGGCCGAGGAGCGGCCCGAGCCCGUGGCCCGGCAGCUUCUCUUCCUUCUCCUGGCUACCGCCGAACCGCCGGGCAGCGCCGGGCUGCGGGGUAACGGGGAGCACCGGGACGGGG